rnacentral:rRNA from 1 species
AGUGAACGCUGGCGGUAGGCCUAACACAUGCAAGUCGAACGGCAGCACAGUAAGAGCUUGCUCUUACGGGUGGCGAGUGGCGGACGGGUGAGGAAUACAUCGGAAUCUACUUUUUCGUGGGGGAUAACGUAGGGAAACUUACGCUAAUACCGCAUACGACCUACGGGUGAAAGCAGGGGAUCUUCGGACCUUGCGCGAUUGAAUGAGCCGAUGUCGGAUUAGCUAGUUGGCGGGGUAAAGGCCCACCAAGGCGACGAUCCGUAGCUGGUCUGAGAGGAUGAUCAGCCACACUGGAACUGAGACACGGUCCAGACUCCUACGGGAGGCAGCAGUGGGGAAUAUUGGGCAAUGGGCGCAAGCCUGAUCCAGCCAUACCGCGUGGGUGAAGAAGGCCUUCGGGUUGUAAAGCCCUUUUGUUGGGAAAGAAAAUCAGCAGGUUAAUACCCCGCUGUUCUGACGGUACCCAAAGAAUAAGCACCGGCUAACUUCGUG